GUUUUUCUUAAGUACUCCUCAUUCUGAUAAAAAUACUUUGUUACAGGAAACACAAAACCAAAAGCCCUACACAUAGGGCAAUGAGGGGAGUUAUGAUCAGAAUAUUAUUGAUUACAACAGGAUCAGAGAUUUGUGCACUGAAGAAGAGACUGUCAACACUGAAAAUAGUCUAAGCAAUACUGUUUUGAGUUUUUAAUUACAUGGAGUGUCAAGUACACAGGGCUUGUGUACAAGUAAUAGAUUAGGGUUGAGAAGAGUGUCCAAAAGGCAAGUUCACUGUCUGUCUCUCUGUCAGUCUUACAAUAUCUGCUUGCCUCUACCCCUCCUCCUCCCAUUUUGCUUUUGUUUCCAGCAGGCCACUGAUGGAGACUUUGGAAGGGCUGGGGAGGAGCAGAUAUGAUUAACUGCUUUAUUUUAAAAAAAAGUUCUGAAGAGGUUGGCAUAUGCUGGGCCCCUGAAUGCAGUAAUGAGCCUUGAUCAUCCUCAGCUGGAGCUUCCAGACACACCCACGGGGGCAGGAAGCCCCAUUUCAACCAGCCCCAAUCCCCAAGCUGGUUGAAAAGGCUGGGGUAUGAUGUCCUGGCUGAGCAGUAAUGGGGGACUGCUGCUCUCUUAUCCAUGUCUGUGGCUGUACCUUUUUUUUUUUUCACCAUGGGCCUUAUUGAUCUAGACCUCAACCACCAGGUUGAUAUCCUGUCUUUGUCCAGCCUGGUUGUUGUGGACCUUCCUGCCCAUCAUUAAACCUGGUCUUAACCCUGAACUAUGGACUGAAUUGACCUCAGGCCUCUUUUGUCACCAUGAUACUGCCUCAUGAUCUGGGCUCUUGGGUGGUUCCAGCUAUCAUGUCCAGGUGAGCAAGAGGUUGUGUGCGCAAGGCCAGAGCUGGAGCUGCAUGCCCACCAAAGCCACAGAGGCUCCUUAAAAACACAGUUGUAUUUCUUCCCUCUGCCUGUGCGGUGUUUUACGUUCUCAUGACGAUGGAGACAUGCUCUGCUGGCGAUGAACUUGGACUCAUAAUAUCAGCAUAGAGGUGAAAAUAGACCAUUCACAGCUUAACAUCCUCCUGAUUUACGUUCUUGCAGCAAAGGUGAUGAGCUCUUGAUACAAGUGAAUAACUGUAUCGUUGGAAAAUGUUUCUGAUGUUGUUUCAGCUGCUUAAGUAAAAAUGUUAAGCUUUCUCACCAUUAGGAACAUGAUUUAGUGGCACGUCAAGAUUUCCC
rnacentral:lncRNA from 1 species